CCUUGAGCCAGUAUUAGUCUCAGAAAUAUCCAUGACAAUUUUGUUUGCACUAGUAAGAAAUUGAAAAUAGCCUAAACAGCAAAAGGAGAGUUGAAUAAAUAAAUUUCACUGUGGAAUUAGAAAAUGAAAUACUAUGUUGUUAAUAACGAAGGUGUUGUAGAAAACUAACAUCAUGGUAACAUUGGUACUAUAUUUUCAAGAGAGAUAAAGCAGAUUGUUAGGUAAUGAGUAGUUUGUGAACCAAUAAUGCAAAGAGAUUCUAUUUUGCCUCCCCAACCCCACAGCUCAGGUUUUUCUUCUCCUUUGGGCAACUGCUUAAAUUCAGAGGCAGCUACCAAAAGGAAACGUCUCUCUACCCCCUACUGUUUCUUCUGUGCAAAAGAAUGUAAAAUAUGAGGCUUCUCUUUCGCAUGUAGGCCUGAGAAGUUUUGACAAGAAUGUGUAUGCAGGGAGAAAUGACUGGUGAAAGAAUUUAGAAAGAAUGUAUGGGGACAAAAAGGAAUCACAUGAGCUGAUUUAAAUUCUUCUUGUGACAAGGGAGAAAACAGAAGAAAAGUUGCAACAGAGUGAAAAAUCAGGAAAACCUCAUCGAGAUAGAUAUUCUGCCAGAGACAAAACGAAACCUCAUCGAGAUAGAUAUUCUGCCAGAGAAAAAUGAGACAUCAGAUAUGUGUGAUCACAGGUCAUAGACUCAGUGAAGUGCCACUGUCACAAUGCUCUCAUGCCAAACCUUGACUGCAAAGCUGAGAUGUUAAUAUGGAACACCUGAGAGGGCUGGCACUUCAGCGUCCUUAUUCCUCCAGAACCACACCACAAAAGUCACCUUCUCCCCAGACAGAUUCUCUACAAAAUGCCUUGCAGCCGAGGUGUGGUGGAAAGAAUAUUGUAUUUGGAAUAAAAAAUUUUUGAUUUUGC
rnacentral:lncRNA from 10 species